rnacentral:rRNA from 1 species
GACGAACGCUGGCGGCGUGCUUAACACAUGCAAGUCGAGCGGAGCGGCGAACGGGUGAGUAACGCUUGUGUAACUGCCCCCCUCUCUGGGAUAACAGUUGGAAACGGCUGCUAAUACCGUACAGUGGGGGAUGACUCGCGUCCUAUCAGUUUGUUGGUGGGGUAGUGGCCUACCAAGUGGACGACGGGUAGCCGGCCUGAGAGGGCGACCGGCCACAUUGGGCUGAGAUACGGCCCAAACUCCUACGGGAGGCAGCGGGGGGGAAUAUUGCACAAUGGGGGAAACCCUGAUGCAGGUACGCCGCGUGCGGGAUGACGGCCUUCGGGUUGUAAACCGCUUUCAGCCAUGACGCGGUAGUGGCAGAAGAAGCACCGGCUAACUACGUGCCAGCAGCCGCGGUAAUAC